rnacentral:rRNA from 1 species
CAUCAGCCGCGGGAAUACGAAGGGUGCAAGCGUUAAUCGGAAUUACUGGGCGUAAAGCGUGCGUAGGCGGUGAGUUAAGUCUGCUGUGAAAUCCCCGGGCUCAACCUGGGAAUGGCAGUGGAUACUGGCUCGCUAGAGUGUGUCAGAGGAUGGUGGAAUUCCCGGUGUAGCGGUGAAAUGCGUAGAGAUCGGGAGGAACAUCAGUGGCGAAGGCGGCCAUCUGGGACAACACUGACGCUGAGGCACGAAAGCGUGGGGAGCAAACAGGAUUAGAUACCCCCGUAGUCCCUGUCUCUUAUAC